rfam:Equus caballus chromosome 2, whole genome shotgun sequence.
AGAUCUGAGGGCGAUCUGGCUGUGACAUCUGUCACCACAUUGAUCACCAGGAUUGAUUUGGCUGAUGUGGUUGGCAGGUGUCCCCUUCCUCCCUCACCACUCUAUGUGCAUCCCUGCCAAAGCUACAGGCUCAGUUGAAGAGGAUGUCUUUCCCAUAAAGAGGAAGACCAUUCUUUGGUCAAGGGUAUAUGAGUAGCUACACUCACCUGCUAGAACCUCCAAACAAGCUCUCAAGGUCCAUUUGUAGCAGAACAUAGAUAGUCAAGCUUCCAAGACUCCAGACACAUCCAAAUGAGGUGCUGCCUGUGAUAGUCUGCCUUUCUUU